GAAGAGAAACGGAAGGUUAAAGGUCAGACUGACAGCGUUCACUGAUGACUUUCACGAGUUUCGUUCACAAGGUGACGUCACACCUCACAGGAAGAGCGACCUUCCCAUAAAAACUGUAGUUCCUCUAACGUCCACCAGAGGCUCCGAACCCGAUCCCACACACAGUAGCAAACACGCAUGUGUCAUGUGACCUGCUUGUUUGUGGAGACCUGCUGCAUCGUUUCAUUAAACUCAAUGCCUCCAUACAACAACAGCCACAACAUGUCCAUGUUUGCUGGGUCAAAGAUGAAGACGAGCAGAAAUGUGAAAACACAGAUGUGACCGAAGCAGGCCGCCUACAUUCCUGCCUUUGACUGUGAGCUGUGGCUGAUAAUCAUGACAGGCUGCGGUCUGCAGGAUGGAGUGCAGCUCUGCAUCUGGCUCACGGAAAUGAAUCUGUGCCCCGCUGCUGCUAAACCGUCCGCUUGUCCUUCCCCGCUCAGGCCGACGGGCUCCUAAAUAAGUGAUCGUGGAAUAAAUGGUUUGUGCCGAGCGGGCGGGAUGGAUGCACCGCCGGCCUUUCAUAGCUCAGCGCACUCACAGACACACAAAGGAGCCACAUUUGAAACAUUAGCCUACAUUUUCCUCCAAUUUGGGAUUUAAUUAGAGACGACAGGACGGCGGAGUAGAAAGAGCCGGAGCGUCUGAACCAGCUGAAAAAGAUGCAAACAGCAAGCUGCAGUGAGUCCGGCAUCAUCUGUGACAGCGGUGCGAAGACGUUCCAGAGGGAAACCUGUACAUCCACACCUGUCACACACAGACCCUCCCACAGCCCAUGUUUAUGCUCCACCCUGACGACGAGCUGGAUGGAGACGCGCACGCUCACACAAACACUGCGAGUGUGUUGUCCUUUCUACAUUUACACAAUUAUCUGUCAGCUGUUAGCAGCACCGCAUUGAUUUUGGUGUCAUUAGCAGGCUCCACACCGAGGAGAGGACGAGGAGGACGAGCGGGGGAGGAGGAGGAGAACCAGAGAGACGCCAGGAAAGGGGAGGAAAAGGGAGACCGGUUCAGGGAGGUAGAUGAUGGAGGGAGAGGCAGCGGUGGAGGGGGGUGGGGGGCUCCAGUGGGUCAUUUCCUGUCGUUUUUCAUUUGAGGCUUUGCUUCGCAGCGACAGCGAGAGGCUGUCCUCCCCCCCAAGGAGCAGACCUGAGCGAGAGUGGUAACAGAUGCUAAUUCCUUCACUCCUCCUCAGCUACCUGUCCCAGGGGAGGAGGAGGGAGACAGAAGGAAAAGAGGAAGAGGAGGAGGAGGUGUUGGUGGGCCGUGACUCCCCUGCGUGGGAUUACACUGGAUUAUCCCGCUAAGACGCUGCAUGAGCUGCACACUAGUUCUCAGAGCCUGACGCCCGGCGACGCCCUGCCCCGCCUGGCAUCGUCAUAGCAACC